UACGGGGGGGGCAAGCGUUGUUCGGAAUUACUGGGCGUAAAGGGCUUGUAGGUGGCCAACUAAGUCAGACGUGAAAUCCCUCGGCUUAACCGGGGAACUGCGUCUGAUACUGGAUGGCUUGAGUGUGGGAGAGGGAUGCGGAAUUCCAGGUGUAGCGGUGAAAUGCGUAGAUAUCGGGAGGAACAUCAGUGGCGAAGGCGGCCUUCUGGUCCAGUACUGACACUCAAGUGCGAAAGCGUGGGGAGCAAACAGG
rnacentral:rRNA from 1 species